rnacentral:snoRNA from 1 species
GCGAAUGACGAUUUCUUUUUAACCCUGAGUCUCUUCGAUGAAGACUAAAACUUUGCAACUCUAAUUUUUUCCUGACC